CAAGUCGAACGCGAAAGGGGGGCAACCCCCGAGUAGAGUGGCGAACGGGUGAGUAAUACAUCGGAACGUACCCAGUAGCGGGGGAUAACCUCUCGAAAGAGAGGCUAAUACCGCAUACGACCUACGGGUGAAAGAGGGGGAUCGCAAGACCUCUCACUAUUGGAGCGGCCGAUGUCGGAUUAGCUAGUUGGCGGGGUAAAAGCCCACCAAGGCUACGAUCCGUAGCUGGUCUGAGAGGACGGCCAGCCACACUGGAACUGAGACACGGUCCAGACUCCUACGGGAGGCAGCAGUGGGGAAUUUUGGACAAUGGGCGCAAGCCUGAUCCAGCCAUGCCGCGUGAGUGAAGAAGGCCUUCGGGUUGUAAAGCUCUUUCGGCUGGGACGAAAAGAUUCGGGUUAACACCCCGGAUCCAUGACGGUACCAGCAGAAGAAGCACCGGCUAACUACGUGCCAGCAGCCGCGGUAAUACGUAGGGUGCAGGCGUUAAUCGGAAUUACUGGGCGUAAAGCGUGCGCAGGCGGUUUGCUAAGAGAGAUGUGAAAGCCCCGGGCUUAACCUGGGAACUGCGUUUCUAACUGGCAAGCUUGAGUGUGGCAGAGGGGGGGUGGAAUUCCACGUGUAGCAGUGAAAUGCGUAGAGAUGUGGAGGAACACCGAUGGCGAAGGCAGCCCCCUGGGCUAACACUGACGCUCAUGCACGAAAGCGUGGGGAGCAAACAGGAUUAGAUACCCUGGUAGUCCACGCCCUAAACUAUGUCAACUGGUUGUCGGGGAAGCAAUUCCUUGGUACGAAGCUAACGC
rnacentral:rRNA from 1 species